rnacentral:rRNA from 1 species
AGGAGUUUGAUCCUGGCUCAGGACGAACGCUGGCGGCGUGCUUAACACAUGCAAGUCGAACGAACCGAGGAGGGCUUGCUCUCCAAGGUUAGUGGCGAACGGGUGCGUAACACGUGAGAAACGUACCCACCGGUGGGGGAUAGCCGGCCCAACGGCCGGGUAAUACCGCAUGCGACGCCUUUCGGGCAUCCGGAGGGCGGGAAAGCAGCAAUGCGCCGGUGGAGCGUCUCGCGGCCUAUCAGCUUGUUGGUGAGGUAAUGGCUUACCAAGGCUACGACGGGUAGCUGGUCUGAGAGGAUGAUCAGCCACAUUGGGACUGAGACACGGCCCAGACUCCUACGGGAGGCAGCAGUGGGGAAUAUUGCGCAAUGGCCGAAAGGCUGACGCAGCGACGCCGCGUGCGGGAUGAAGGCCUUCGGGUCGUAAACCGCUGUCAGGAGGGACGAAACUCUGACGGUACCUCCAGAGGAAGCACCGGCUAACUCCGUGCCAGCAGCCGCGGUAAUACGGAGGGUGCGAGCGUUGUCCGGAAUCACUGGGCGUAAAGGGCGCGUAGGCGGCUCAGUAAGUAGGGGGUGAAAUCUCACGGCUCAACCGUGAAACGGCCUCCUAAACUGCUGGGCUUGAGCACGGUAGAGGCAGAUGGAAUUCCCGGUGUAGCGGUGGAAUGCGUAGAUAUCGGGAAGAACACCAGUGGCG